GCUGAAUGAUUUAUAAUGUUUACUUAAUAGUUCGUUAUGGAGCCUACCAAUUUCGUAAUAUUAGUUUAUUAAACAAUGCUUGACAUUUUUUUAUUGUGAAAGUUAAGUUCGUAUUGAUUCAUGACAAAUUUAUAUUUUUGAUGGUUUGAUUUCAUCUAGGGAAACCCAACAAAAAAGGAAAGGGGAAAAUAGCAGUUGAGAUCAGCGGCAAUGGGAAACAAAACAACACCGCAACUAAAGGUAAUGAAUCCAACAAGGCUCUACGUCUUUCAUUUUUUUUAUUUGUUAUUGGAAUAGUAUUAGUUUUAUUGUGUAAAAUAGUAUUGGUUUAUGUGUAGAUUCGUUUAUAUUUUAUGGAUGAAUAUUUAGUCGCAAUGUGUUAUGAAUUGAUAGGAUUAAUGACUCAAUUCUAACUUCUUAUGCAGACACUGAAAAGGGUAAGGCUACGUUGAUGUUGGAAAUUGGUGGUAGUGAUCAUGCAUCCACCAAUAUUGAAGGU
rnacentral:lncRNA from 1 species